GAUGAACGCUGGCGGCGUGCCUAAUACAUGCAAGUCGAGCGAACAGAUGAGGAGCUUGCUCCUCUGACGUUAGCGGCGGACGGGUGAGUAACACGUGGAUAACCUACCUAUAAGACUGGGAUAACUUCGGGAAACCGGAGCUAAUACCGGAUAAUAUAUUGAACCGCAUGGUUCAAUAGUGAAAGACGGUUUUGCUGUCACUUAUAGAUGGAUCCGCGCCGCAUUAGCUAGUUGGUAAGGUAACGGCUUACCAAGGCAACGAUGCGUAGCCGACCUGAGAGGGUGAUCGGCCACAUGGGAACGGGGACACGGUCCAGACUCCUACGGGAGGCAGCAGUAGGGAAUCUUCCGCAAUGGGCGAAAGCCUUACGGAGCAACGCCGCGUGAGUGAUGAAGGUCUUCGGAUCGUAAAACUCUGUUAUUAGGGAAGAACAAAUGUGUAAGUAACUAUGCUCGUCUUGACGGUACCUAAUCAGAAAGCCACGGCUAACUACGUG
rnacentral:rRNA from 1 species